GACGAACGCUGGCGGCGCGCCUAACACAUGCAAGUCGAACGAGCGAGAGAGACCUUGCUUUGUUGCGCGAGUGGCGAACGGGUGAGUAACGCGUGAGGAACCUGCCUCAAAGAGGGGGAUAACAGCUGGAAACGACGGCUAAUACCGCAUAAGCGCACCGGCCGCCAGCGACGGGAGGGAAAAGGGCCACUCCGCGUGGAGCUGGCGUCGCGUCGGAUUGUCUAGGUGGGGGGGUAAUGGCCCACCACGGUGACGAGCGGUAGCCGGACGGGGAGGUUGACCCGCCACGUUGGGGCUGCGCCCCGGCCCCGACUCCGACGGGAGGGAGGGGUGGGGUAUAUUGCGCGCUGGGGGAUACCGUGAUGCAGCGGCGCCGCGUAGAGGAAGAAGGUCUUCGGAUUGUAAACUCCUGUUGUACGGGGAGAUAAUGACGGUACCCGACAAAGAAGUAACGGCUAACUACGUG
rnacentral:rRNA from 1 species